AGAAGCUCUUCGAAAAUUUAUAAAUUAUCCUCUGCAUUUAGCUCCCUCCCAACUCCAGAUCGUCGCUUCAAAUCCGUAAUUCUGUUAUACAGUCUGGAGUUUUCAGAAGCUGACGUUAGGAAGAAGACGAUGACGAGCCCGAGAAAACGAGAGAGGGCCGAUCAGGUGCAAGUGCAGCAGGAUCCUCCUUACCAUGUUCUUCAUAAGCUGCCUCCUGGGGACAGCCCCUACGUCAGAGCCAAGCACGUUCAGGUCUUUUUCUUGCACCUCAUAUCAUAUACUUGUGUUUGGGCUGAAAUGAGACGUUAGAUUAGAUUAUGGGUAUUUAUUUAAUUGCUCUGUAAUUGUUCAUUAUGUUUAUAAAUUUUGGAUUUUGGGUUUGGUCAAUUGAUGAACUUUCAGUUUCAUCUCAAUUUAGUGAUGCCUUAGACAGAGAUAUGAUUGUGUGUGAAAUUAGGGAAGCUUUUAAUUUUCAUUAAUGGGCCCUUUGAAGUUAAGCUUUUGAGGAUUCAGUCAAAAAACAAAAAAGGGUUAAGUUUGAGAAAGUUUUGUAAUGAAAAGUAUUAAACUUGCACUUUCCUAUUUGGAAUUUAACUUUCCCUAUGAAGUUAUUCUAAUCCUGUUUUCCGUGAGAAUAACUCAUGUGGGUUGGGUUGUUAUGGACUCAUGAAUCAUGACCAUAGUGCACUAUUAGAGUGAGAGUGAUAUGUGCCCUUUGAUUUCAUAACAAGUGUUUGCAAUAUCUAACUAUAUUGUUUGCUCUCUGUUUUUAUUAUUUUUUAAUAGUUUCAAAUUAAUUUUCCUCCAAAUGGCAAAUGCUAAGAAGAAAGUUUGGAAAUGCUUGCUCUUCUGGCCUGUUUGUAGAAAUGGCAUUAGAACUGAAAUUCCAAUCAGCAGAGGAAUAUGUUGAAAGUUAUUUUUCUUAUUGGUUAUUAUUAUUGGAGAUUUUUCAUCAAUUCUAAAUGGCGUUGAAGCUUGCGGUGCUAUUGUCUUGUUGUGUUCUCUUGGAGUCUCUCAGAGUAAAUAUUGGUGCCGUUUUUAUAUUUGAUUGUGGAUUGGUUAUGAUUUUUUUUUUUUAAUCCUUUGGUAAAUCUGAGUUUGGUAAGCAACUGUCAAAUGGUCUACUAUUUAGCUAAUAUUGUUCUGUUCAUAUGUUCUUUGUGCAUAUGCAGUUAGUUCAGAAGGAUCCAGAAGCAGCUAUAGUUUUGUUCUGGAAGGCGAUAAACGCUGGAGAUAGGGUGGAUAGUGCCCUCAAAGACAUGGCAGUAGUCAUGAAGCAGCAAGAUAGAGCAGAAGAAGCAAUUGAAGCAAUAAAGUCUUUCAGGGAUCGCUGCUCUAAGCAGGCACAAGAAUCCCUAGACAAUGUACUAAUUGACUUGUACAAGGUAAAUAUAGAAGAUUAGCUCUCAUUUCCAAGGCUUGAUAUCCUUUUCUAAAAGAGGCAUAUGGAUAUCUCAUCAGCAAAUGCCUAUUUUUUGUAGCAGGCCUGUAUGAUCCUCAUGACUUUAGACCCACCCUCAGUUCCUAACAAGGGCUAAUGUUUUUUCAAUUAAUUGGCAAUUGUGGUGAUGUCUUCACUAUCAAUCACUCCACCCUCCUCUGUGGAUAUUAACCUCAAAUGCCAAGGGUUUGGAAUUUGUGCAGUUUUGGAGAACACUUGUGGGCUUAUGCCCUCUCUUUCCUCUCCUCCCUGUUGGGAAAAAAUUUAUUGCAGAAGUUUGCGCAUGAUAUAGAAUGGUUUAGGGCUACCCACCCAAAACUUAGCUUUUGUGUCCAAAACCUAAGUAGCGUCGCACUCUUUCUGACCUAAUAAGAAUUUUCAGGUUUUGGAAUUUGGUUCUCACCAUAUAUGUGAACUUGGCAGAAAUGUGGUAGAGUUGAGGAGCAAAUAGAGCUACUGAAGCAGAAGCUUUGGAUGAUUUACCAGGGAGAGGCCUUCAAUGGUAAGCUUACCAAGACAGCGCGCUCCCAUGGCAGGAAGUUUCAAGUCACAAUCAAGAAAGAGACUUCCAGGAUACUGGUUAGUACUAAGCUACAUUAUUAACUUUUCUCUCCAUCACUAAACCAGACUGCAUAAAACUUGUGACUGUACCUAAACUGUUGCCUUUUUGAGAUUUUGUUGAACUUGUCAUUCAGAAUUAUUGGCUUAAUAGAGAAGAAAAGAAGAUUUAAAAAUAAUAAAAAACGCAGUAUAACCUAGUUUUCUCUGUAGGUUGCUUUAGAAUCUAAAAGUACUACAAUCAAUUAUCCAACACAGUCCUGUUUUCUGCACUAUUCUGUUUCCUAAUUUGAAAACUCGUUAGGUUUUUCUUUAUUUUGUAGAUUUUGUUUUUGUAGAAAAAAUAUAAACAGAAAGAAUCCACCUGCCUACUUACAUAUGCGGCAUGAGUUGCUUGUUGGUCAGGCGAUUCAGCAACUAAGUAUAAUCCUUGUGCUUUGCAAAUAAUUCUGAUUUGGUAAUAGAACAACAUGAUGAGAAUUCUAUCAGAUUUUUGUACUCUUUCCAUAACAGUUACAAAACAAAAAUGAAGGUACGGUCAUAAGCAUCAUUUCCUAGCUAUAAGAUUCACCUGUGAGCUAAUGAUGUAUUUCAUAAUCAAUGGCUGUUUUCUUGUGCAAGAACAAGCUUCUCAGAUAAUUGCCUUGAUAGCCCCACCUGAAAGAUCCUAUUGUACAUAAGCGCAGCUGACUUCAAAGUUUUCUCACCAUGCUUCGUUUCCCCCAUCAUCCGAAUCAAAAUCUAAUUAAUAUGGAUAAUGCUGCUUCUGAGCCUCUGAAUGAAUUGUUUUCCCUUCCUUUUUUUAUUUGUCAAAGUUUGGAAGGGGAGGGGAGGGGGAAGGUGCAUUUCACUUCUGUUUAUGUCAUCAAUUAUUUGCCUUGCCAUCUCAAAGUCUGACCCAACAGAUCUGUGAUCAGGGGAACUUGGGUUGGGCCUACAUGCAACAAGGGAACCAUGUGGCUGCAGAAGUGGUGUAUCGUAAAGCCCAAACCAUUGACCCAGACGCCAACAAGGCCUGCAACCUAUGCCUAUGCCUGAUCAAGCAAACACGAUACGUCGAGGCACAAUCAGUUCUUGAUGAUGUCUUGCAGGGCGCGCUUUCAGGAUCUGAUGAGCCCAAAUCAAAAAUUCGCGCCAAGGAACUGCUCCAGGAGCUAGAGCAAUGUCAAACUGUAGUUUUGUCAUCGAAUUCAUUGAGUUUAAAUAUAGAAGAUGCUUUUCUGGAGGGGCUUGACCACUUGAUGAAGCACUGGACCCCUCUAAGGUCUAGGAGACUUCCUAUCUUUGAAGAGAUUUCUUCAUUUAGAGAUCAAUUAGCUUGUUGAUUUUGUAGGGAGUGUGUAGAUACUUCUCCUUCAUUAUUUUUUGAUGUUUGUAUGAAUAGUAUAGGAAAGUAUAAUCAAUUGACCAUCUGUUCUCUUUGCUCAAGUGGAUAUCUUGUCCACUUUUUGUACUUUUUUCUCUUGUUAAUGAAAUUUGUUUCCAAUCAAAAGAAUGAGGAA
rnacentral:lncRNA from 1 species